CAGCCGCCGCGGGAAUACGAAGGGUGCAAGCGUUACUCGGAAUUACUGGGCGUAAAGCGUGCGUAGGUGGUGGUUUAAGUCCGUUGUGAAAGCCCUGGGCUCAACCUGGGAAUUGCAGUGGAUACUGGGUCACUAGAGUGUGGUAGAGGAUAGUGGAAUUUCCGGUGUAGCGGUGAAAUGCGUAGAGAUCUGGAGGAAUACCGAUGGCGAAGGCAGCCAUCUGGCCUAAUACUGACGCUGAGGUACGAAAGCAUGGGGAGCAAACAGGAUUAGAUACCCCCGUAGUCCCUGUCUCUUAUAC
rnacentral:rRNA from 1 species